rnacentral:tRNA from 2 species
GAGAUUGUAGUUCAAUGGUUAGAGCACUGCCCUGUCACGGCAGAAGUUGCGGGUUCGAGUCCCGUCAAUCUCG